UAAGGAAUAUUGGACAAUGGAGGCAACUCUGAUCCAGCCAUGCCGCGUGAAGGAAUAAGGCCCUAUGGGUUGUAAACUUCUUUUAGACGGGACAAAACCCCUUUACGUGUAAAGGGUUGAAGGUACUGUCAGAAUAAGCAUCGGCUAACUUCGUGCCAGCAGCCGCGGUAAUACGGAGGGUGCAAGCGUUAUCCGGAUUUACUGGGUUUAAAGGGUGCGUAGGCGGAUGAAUAAGUCAGUGGUGAAAUCUCCGAGCUUAACUCGGAAACUGCCGUCGAUACUAUUUGUCUUGAAUAUUGUGGCGGUAAGCGGAAUAUGUCAUGUAGCGGUGAAAGGCCUAGAUAUGACAUAGAACACCAAUUGCGAAGGCAGCUUGCUACACAAUCAUUGACGCUGAGGCACGAAAGC
rnacentral:rRNA from 1 species